ensembl:snRNA U2 U2 spliceosomal RNA
ACUUCUCCUCAGCCUUUUGGCUAAGAUCAAGUAUAGUAUCUGUUCUUAUCAGUGUAAUAUUUGAUAUUUCCUCUAUCCAAGGAUAAUAUAUAGAGUGGAUUUUUAGAGCAGGGAGUUGGAAUGGGAGCUUGCCCUGUCCACUACAAACAUUGACCUGGUAUUAUAGUACCUCCAGGAAUCAUGCACCCUCC